GAUGCCAGGAAAGGAUGGGCGAAGGAGAUCAGGUGCUGGGACGCGCCAGCGCACCCUGGGAAUCGCCCGCUGGUGUGGGUAGGGGGUUGGCGGGGAGGUGGGUGGAGAUGCCGCCCAGCUGGAGGUGAAACCUUGGACUUGGUCUAAAAAGCCCUGCUCCGGGAUCGUGCAGGAAUUUCAACAGGGCUCGGGUGCGUGUGAGUUAAUUUCAUCAGAAGCCGGUGCACGGCCUGAGUGCAACGGAUGGGGGAAGGGGGCGGUAAUCCGCCUCUUUCCGACCACGGGACCUCAAGGUGGGUGAAAGCAAGGCGUGGGGCGAGGGAGACGGCCUUCCCGGGGCCUUUCCGGGCCCUCCAUCCUCGUGCUGAAAGGAGAUCUGGGAUGGGACGUCUCUGGAAGGCCCUGUGAGGUCCCACCGGGCCGAGAGGCUGGGCCUGCGCCCGCGGUGCCUUCCACACCAUCUCUGCUGCUGCUGCAGCGAGGCCCGGGGAGCAGAUGACUCACUCUGCCGGCUAAUUGCAGCGCUAAAUAACUUUGCGUUGCAUCCAGAAGCAGGCAUGGCUGCAGCUGGGGAACGAGCUGAGGGAGCAGGGGAGACGCAGGAGUGCUUCGGAACACACCUCUCUUCCUGCCACCCACGUAGGAGACAUCCUGGGAGCUCUCGGCUGCAUAUACACCUUCUCGCACAGAGUGCGUGUCCGUCGGUGCCCGGUGAGCACGGGCACAAGACCCUGCAGGCUCCUCGCGUCUGGAGAAAGCCGCACCCACAUUCGCGAGGCAGCCCGCGCGCAGGGGCGCCUCGCCCACGUUUCACGGAAACCGCCUGCCCAGUAACUGUAACAUGAAGCCCCUUCAUGCAGCUCUCUGGACAUUUGCGUGGGACUGACUCGAACUGCAAUAGCUGUGAGGAGGAGAAGCGGGAUUCGCUGUAUUUUUAGCAGGGAGUGCAGAUUUUAGAACAUCAGCUGAACCUCCUCGUUGGGUCCUGCUCCUCUGGCAGGAUGACUUGCCAGAAAAGUGGGAAUAAUUAGGAACUCAAUGCAACGAGGGCCCAUGUCCAACUUGUGCCCAGCUCCUCCCCAUCAGGAUUCAGUCCUGCCUUGGAAUGAGAGAGUAAGUGAAUAAAUGAAAGGGUGGCCACUGCUAACCUUGGGUGGCUCUGUCCUGUGACAGAAUCUAAAUGUCUGUUUGGCUUUGCUCACAGGAGCACAGUCCAGGCCAGCAGGCAGAAGAGGCACCCACCUUUGUGUUCAGGUAGGGGAAAGCUCUCUAGAAAGGAGGCAGAAGGGAGGAGGGGGCUGGCAGCAGGAGGAAAGGCAAUGACCUAAAGAGGGAGCUUGGAACUCCUGGAACUCCAGAAAAGUUGGGGGCAGAGAACAGGUGACCUGUCAGGAAUGGUGGCCUUUGGAAUUCAUCCUGAGGAUGAGGAGACCCUAGAAGAACAGGAGGAUGCCGUGGUAUGUGUUUUGGAAGGAGCACUGCCAGACGAAGCCUGGGCUGAGGAGAUGAAGGCACGCAGGGGUGGGGGGAGUGUUUCGGGUGCAGGGAAGGGUCCUGCCCCCAUCACGGUGCUCAUCACAGGUUCUGCUGUCUGGCACUCAGCAGGAAGGAGGAGCAGUCGGUGGUCCCUGCUAUAAGAGGUGCCUUUUAGGGUGACCCCAUACCUGUCCCUCUCUCGCAGGGGGGUCCUCUGCACCUGAUGUGGUUCCUGACACCUGUAACCUGGAAUGUAAAUUGAAAUAAGCCAAGGAUAUUUUGAAUGUU